UACGUAGGUGGCAAGCGUUGUCCGGAUUUACUGGGCGUAAAGGGCGUGCAGGCGGUUUGUUAAGUUCAGGGUGAAAGCUCCCGGCUCAACUGGGAGAGGUCCUUGGAUACUGGCAGACUUGAGGAGGGUAGAGGAGAGUGGAAUUCCCGGUGUAGUGGUGAUAUGCGUAGAUAUCGGGAGGAACACCAGUGGCGAAAGCGCGAGACUGGGCCAUAACUGACGCUGAGGAACGAAAGCCAGGGGAGCAAAAGGG
rnacentral:rRNA from 1 species